UAUCAUUAUGGUCCAUUAUUGAGACCUUUAAUUUUUUCUUAAGGACUUUUUAAUCCCUAGUUGCAAUUGUUUCAAACAUUUGGGGUAAGGGAUGGGGUUAAAUGUGUCCCUUCUUGCCAGCAAGCAGAUGGCCAUUUGAAGAAUAACAGCAUCUUCCAUUGUAGGCUACAGAACAGCUGGUGAAUGAUAUCCUGAGACAGGCUUUGGCAGUUGGAUACCAGACAGCUUCUCACAACAGGAUUCCCAAAGAAAUUACAGUGAGUAAUAUUCACCAGGCCAUUUGCAACAUUCCUUUUCUGGACUUCCUCACAAACAAACACAUGGGAAUAUUGAAUGAGGACCAGUGAGCGGAGUGAGGUGCCCUGGAGAAGCAGGCUUUGAAGGCGCAGCGAAGCUGUAACUGAGGACCCUGCUGCUCGGGAAGGAGGUGGUUUCCAGUGUGACUCGGCAUGUCAUGGCUACCCAACCUUUGCCGCUGCCUGUUCCCGCGUGUCACCAGCACGCUCCACUCCAGUUGAAAUCCUCCUAGGACAGGAGUUUGUUUCCUGAGUGUGGAGUGAGGCUGUCAGUGG
rnacentral:sRNA from 1 species